rnacentral:rRNA from 1 species
UACAGAGGUCUCAAGCGUUGUUCGGAUUCAUUGGGCGUAAAGGGCGCGUAGGCUGCGGGGCAAGUCGGGUGUGAAAUCUCAGAGCUCAACUCUGAAACUGCACUCGAUACUGCUUUGCUUGAGGACUGGAGAGGAGAUUGGAAUUCACGGUGUAGCAGUGAAAUGCGUAGAUAUCGUGAGGAAGACCAGUGGCGAAGGCGGAUCUCUGGACCGAGACUGACGCUGAGGCGCGAAAGCGUGGGGAGCAAACAGG